rnacentral:rRNA from 1 species
GCCGCGUUAGUGYUAAGGUAGCAUAGUAAUUAGUUUCUUAAUUGGGAAAUGGAAUGAAUGGUUUCACUAAAAUAUGAUAUUUAUUCUAAUUUGCGAAAUUUUAAUCUGAGUGAAAAUACUCAGAAGAUAUAUUUAGACGAGAAGACCCUAUGAAGCUGGUAGACUUCCAAUGUAAUUAUACUAUAGUUCAUGAGUUUAUUUUUUGGGGUAAAAUUUAAUAACAGUAUUAAUAUUGGCUUACUAAAUAAUAUCCUCUUGGAAUUAUGAAAAAGCUCCUCUAGGGAUAACAGCAUUAUGCUUAAAAGAGUUCUUAUCAGAAUAAGCGUUUGUGACCUCGAUGUUGAAUUAAAUACUCUUAUAUGUGCAGGAGCUUAUAAGAGAUGGUCUGUUCGACCAACUACAUUUACAUGAUUUGAGUUAAAAUCGACGCAAGUCA